rnacentral:rRNA from 1 species
ACUGCUCAGUAACACGUGGAUAACCUGCCCUUGGGACCGGCAUAACCCCGGGAAACUGGGGAUAAUUCCGGAUACCGCAUAUAUGCUGGAAUGCUUUAUGCGUGAAAUGGAUUCGUCUGCCCAAGGAUGGGUCUGCGGCCUAUCAGGUAGUAGUGGGUGUAAUGUACCUACUAGCCUACAACGGGUACGGGUUGUGAGAGCAAGAGCCCGGAGAUGGAUUCUGAGACAUGAAUCCAGGCCCUACGGGGCGCAGCAGGCGCGAAAACUUUACAAUGCGGGAAACCGUGAUAAGGGGACACCGAGUGCCAGCAUCAUAUGCUGGCUGUCCAGGUGUGUAAAAUACACCUGUUAGCAAGGGCCGGGCAAGACCGGUGCCAGCCGCCGCGGUAACACCGGCGGCCCGAGUGGUGAUCGUGAUUAUUGGGUCUAAAGGGUCCGUAGCCGGUUUGGUCAGUCCUCCGGGAAAUCUGACAGUUUAACUGUUAGGCUUUCGGGGGAUACUGCCAGACUUGGAACCGGGAGAGGUAAGAGGUACUACAGGGGUAGGAGUGAAAUCUUGUAAUCCCUGUGGGACCACCUGUGGCGAAGGCGUCUUACCAGAACGGGUUCGACGGUGAGGGACGAAAGCUGGGGGCACGAACCGGAUUAGAUACCCGGGUAGUCCCAGCCGUAAACGAUGCUCGCUAGGUGUCAGGCAUGGCGCGACCGUGUCUGGUGCCGCAGGGAAGCCGUGAAGCGAGCCACCUGGGAAGUACGGCCGCAAGGCUGAAACUUAAAGGAAUUGGCGGGGGAGCAC